AGAGUUUGAUCCUGGCUCAGAGCGAACGCUGGCGGCAGGCCUAACACAUGCAAGUCGAGCGCCGUAGCAAUACGGAGCGGCAGACGGGAGAGUAACACGUGGGAACGUGCCCUUCAGUUCGGAACAACCCAGGGAAACUUGGGCUAAUACCGGAUACGUCCGUAAGGAGAAAGAUUUAUCGCUGAAGGAUCGGCCCGCGUCUGAUUAGCUAGUUGGUGGGGUAAUGGCCCACCAAGGCGACGAUCAGUAGCUGGUCUGAGAGGAUGAUCAGCCUCACUGGGACUGAGACACGGCCCAGACUCCUACGGGAGGCAGCAGUGGGGAAUAUUGGACAAUGGGCGCAAGCCUGAUCCAGCCAUGCCGCGUGGGUGAUGAAGGCCCUAGGGUUGUAAAGCCCUUUCGGCGGGGAAGAUAAUGACGGUACCCGCAGAAGAAGCCCCGGCUAACUUCGUGCCAGCAGCCGCGGUAAUACGAAGGGGGCUAGCGUUGCUCGGAAUCACUGGGCGUAAAGCGCACGUAGGCGGCUUUUUAAGUCAGGGGUGAAAUCCUGGAGCUCAACUCCAGAGCUGCCUUUGAUACUGAGAAGCUUGAGUCCGGGAGAGGUGAGUGGAACUGCGAGUGUAGAGGUGAAAUUCGUAGAUAUUCGCAAGAACACCAGUGGCGAAGGCGGCUCACUGGCCCGGUACUGACGCUGAGGUGCGAAAGCGUGGGGAGCAAACAGGAUUAGAUACCCCCGUAGUCC
rnacentral:rRNA from 1 species